rnacentral:rRNA from 1 species
GACGGGGGCCCGCACAAGCGGUGGAGCAUUGUGGUUUAAUUCGAAGCAACGCGAAGAACCUUACCAGGUCUUGACAUCCCGAUGCUAUUUCUAGAGAUAGAAAGUUACUUCGGUACAUCGGUGACAGGUGGUGCAUGGUUGUCGUCAGCUCGUGUCGUGAGAUGUUGGGUUAAGUCCCGCAACGAGCGCAACCCCUAUUGUUAGUUGCCAUCAUUCAGUUGGGCACUCUAGCGAGACUGCCGGUAAUAAACCGGAGGAAGGUGGGGAUGACGUCAAAUCAUCAUGCCCCUUAUGACCUGGGCUACACACGUGCUACAAUGGUUGGUACAACGAGUUGCGAGUCGGUGACGGCGAGCUAAUCUCUUAAGGCCAAUCUCAGUUCGGAUUGUAGGCUGCAACUCGCCUACAUGAAGUCGGAAUCGCUAGUAAUCGCGGAUCAGCACGCCGCGGUGAAUACGUUCCCGGGUCUU